UCUCACAGGACAAGGCAUAGUGAUGUUUUAAUCUUGUAGCAGAUCUGUGAAUGCUGAUCUUUGUACUAAAUUGUGUACCUUGUUAAAUUUGGGAACCUCUCUGUGAUGCUUCCAGAGUUGCUCUUUAUAAGUGCUGACAGGUCCUAAAGGUGUUAUCUCUUGCUGCUAUUAAGUUAAAGUUGUCUUUGGUGAUCUAGACACCAAAAGAGGAAAUCAUCCAAGAAACAAAAAAGCCACACCCAAAUUGUUCCAUAAGCCAUUUUUUCAUCCUUUAUUUCACAAAUUUUCACUUUAUUUUUUUUUAACUUCAAGAACAAUUGUUAUCACAGAAUUAACAAGAGGGGAACAACCAGAAAAGGGAAUGAAGAGGAUGUGACUAACAAUGGCUUGCUUUUGCCAUUUGAUAGGAAGUGAUUGGCAUUUGAGGUUACCAGACAGAAGUACAAGUACAUGAAAAUCUACAAACUGCAUGACUACUGAAGGACACAUGAUUGCAAUGGCCAGAAUCCAGAUGACUGUUAUAAUGAUGAUAGCAGUUGAGGUGGUCAACUUCUUAUUAAAUGGAUAAACGAUGCAUCGAAACCUGCAGCAAAGGCAUCCAGGAAUGUAUGUGGAGAAGCCAUUUAGAGAAUGCUUAGAGAGCAAUUGCAACCAAAGUGAAGAUGGAGGCAGAGACAGAGACUCCUUGGACCAUCCCACUCAUCUUGCAAACCAUGCUUCCAAAUGGCCAUCCUGGAAGGAAAUGGAACAAUAUAGCAGACUACUCCGUUGCCAGCCAUACAGAGCAGGAAGAUGAGGAGGUAAGAGGCAAUGAAGACAGCUGCCACUGAAGGCUGGUGGUGGUAGAAGUCCACAUAGGAGACAUUGCCUUCUAAGUAGAGUUUCAGCUACCUCCUCAAAUUCCUGAUGACGGUAUUUCCUAUGUCUGUGAAAUCAUGGCAGAAGAUGUGAUAUUCUGCUGUCACCCUGCAUAGGGCAGUCCUCUACUGAAGAAAAGGAAUAUGAGGAAACUGCCAAAAGAGUGCUCUGUGUCCUUAGAGAUGAGCCUGGCAUGUACCACUAGUGACAAGAACACACUAGCAGUUUUAGUGGCAAGCUCCUGAAGCAGAUUGUGACGUUGCUGUUGCAUGGCAUGUGGCUGUAGAUUCAUAUGGUAUCUGGUGAAGAUAAUUAUCCUUUCUUCUCUAUGUACUUGAGCAAGUAUUCCCAAAAGGUAUCCUGCCCAGGGUAAGUGUCUUUGUCUAAAUAAAGGUCAGGUGGUGUAUGGGCUGCAGCUGGACUUCUUUCUGUCUGCCACUAGAUGCAUUAGAGGGAGUUAUCUGUCCUCUCCAGCGUAGUGUCUCAAGUAUGUAUACAAUCAUUGUGUGCUGUGUGAGAAGUGUCUGAGAGGCUAGGAUGUCACUGACCGAUAAAAUAAUAAAAAUGGUUACAAACUUCAUACCAAGUGUAAAGCCAUAACUUAAGUUGCAACAAUGAUUUCUCACUUAGGUCUGGGAGCUCAUCAGUAAGAAAUGUCAGGCAUUAAGGAAACUCUGGAAUUAUUAACCCGAGGAAUGUAUGAAUUAUUUUAAUAACUCAGCAGGAUCUUAGGAGAGCACAACAUGGAGUGUUUCUGAUGGAGGUGAUGGCUUUGAAAGUUCCGCAGGAUAGUUAGAAGACUUUACCUGGAACUGCCUUUGUUAGUUAAAGCCCAUCUAGAAAGGUUGACUUAAAAUAAAACAAAUUAACAGAGAUAGUGCUGGAAGACUGAAUGUGGGCACUCUUUGAAGGAGGGAAACUACAAAGAGCUCCCUGUUGUAUAGACUGUUCAGCACAUGCUGAGACAAAUCUCAUUUUCCUUUGUUCUGGUAUCUCAAAUAAAUUCUAGGAAACACUCAAAAUAUUUAGCUACAAGAAGGUAUUGGAAACAUACACGUUGGGUGUAAGCUGGCAAAGUGCAAAUUUAGGAAAUUAAGAAUCUUUGCCAUGGCUUCCUGUAGAAGCAGAAGCCAGAAAGUAUUCUGAAGAUGGCAAUUUUUCACUUGGAGAAUAAGAGAUGCUCCCUCAUGAAUUCUGAACUCUUGAUAAAGCCUGACUCUUAAGAAGCUAUCGUGGCAUGGGGAUAUUCAUUGGGCAUCAGCGAUUACACUCUCACCAGUGCAGGCAAGAGUGAAUAUUGAAAAAGGAUUGCUGGUUGGUAUUUCAAAAGCUCAAAUAACUAGCUUUUAAACUUGAGGCUCUCCUUUCUCUUUUUGGAUGGCAUAUCUAUCAUUUUUCUCCAUUUUCUAUUAGAUGACAAUUUAAAAGGAAACUUUUUUUUAGCUAAAGUAAUGUUCUGCAGCUGGUGGCAACAGCUGUAUAGCUGUGAUUUGUUUUCAGUUGGAUGGGUUGCUCAGGGCUUGAGGAAAAUAAGGCUAGGAUGACUUUGCUUGUGUUGGGAGAGUAAAUACUGUUUUAGGGGACUAAGAAAUUAAAGAUGUGUUACGUACAGAAAUGAGUUCAGAAAUUAAGGCAAGCUCAGAAGUAUGUUUUAAGAUAUAAGGUGUGUUUUUAUUUCAAAGUAGAAGAGCAUGAACCCAGAAACUCGAGAGUUUCAGCAUUUUACUUCAUUGCCUUGCUGUGACAUUGCACUGGAUAGACUUGAAAACUGGAUGUUGGCUAUGCGAGACUACAUGAGAGGUGCAGAAUGAAAUGAUUAAAGAGACCUUUUGGGAAGACCCCUGCUGAGCAACAGGUUAUACAGAGAGGUUACACAAAAAGACCUGAGGGAAGUCAGGAAAGAUGCAAGGUUUGGCUGGGUGCUUGUAGUGGUGCUUUUGAAAAGAAAGGAAAAAAGUAAGGAAAAGAAGGAAAGGAACAGAAUAAAAAAGGUAAAGAGGAAAGAGGAAA